UGGGUCGUUAGCUCAGCUGGUAGAGCAGCGGACUUUUAAUCCGUUGGUCACUGGUUCGAAUCCAGUACGGCCUACCAA
rnacentral:tRNA from 13 species